rnacentral:rRNA from 1 species
UGCUGGGUUGGAUGAGUGGCGAACGGGUGAGUAACACGUGAGUAACCUGCCCCCUUCUUUGGAAUAACGGUCGGAAACGGCUGCUAAUACCGGGUAUUCACUGUCCUUCGCAUGGGGGGUGGUGGAAAGGUUUUUUCUGGUGGGGGAUGGGCUCGCGGCCUAUCAGCUUGUUGGUGGGGUGAUGGCUUACCAAGGCUUUGACGGGUAACCGGCCUGAGAGGGUGACCGGUCACAUUGGGACUGAGAUACGGCCCAGACUCCUACGGGAGGCAGCAGUGGGGAAUAUUGCACAAUGGGCGAAAGCCUGAUGCAGCGACGCCGCGUGAGGGAUGACGGCCUUCGGGUUGUAAACCUCUUUCGCUCAUGGUCAAGCCGCAACAGUGGUUGUGGUGAGGGUAGUGGGUAAAGAAGCACCGGCUAACUACGUGCCAGCAGCCGCGGUAAUACGUAGGGUGCGAGCGUUGUCCGGAAUUAUUGGGCGUAAAGGGCUUGUAGGCGGUUUGUCGC